UCCGCCAGAUAGCAAUACGUAGACGCGAGGUCCAAAUGCUGCAUGAUUGGUGGAUUUUGACAUAUCUGUCAAUUGGAUUACUAAUGUUUGGCCAAAAAACGUUUCCCAAAUUAUCACAUCGCAAACAACGUUUCGCAAAUUUUUAUUUGGCAAAUUCUCAUUUGGCAAAGCAACUUAUUGCAAACUUUUAAUUCGCAAAUGUUUUUUUUGGCAUAUUAUUGUUUAGCAAAUUAUUGUUUGGCAAAGUAUGGUUUGCCAAACGUUUCAUUAGGCAAAAAUAUUUCACGAUAAACUAUUUAUAAAUUAUUUUGAUUGGUGCAUAGAAUGGUAUACAAAUUAGCUUGUGGUUAUUAUUUUGUUUAGUGGGGAGUUAAUAUAAAAUUUGUUCUACAUUAAUUUCCUUAUUUCAUUCUUUGUAUCGAAAUUUCCAAAUGAUUCAUUAACAAUAGAGGUGAUUCUA